AACCUAGCACACCUGCGGUGUGUACCUGCGGAAGGAUCAUUACCGAGUUUACAACUCCCAAACCCCUGUGAACAUACCUAUACGUUGCCUCGGCGGAUCAGCCCGCGCCCUGUAAAAAGGGACGGCCUGCCCGAGGACCCUAAACUCUGUUUUUAGUGGAACUUCUGAGUAAAACAAACAAAUAAAUCAAAACUUUUAACAAUGGAUCU
rnacentral:misc_RNA from 1 species